UACGUAGGGUGCAAGCGUUGUCCGGAAUUAUUGGGCGUAAAGAGCUCGUAGGCGGUCUGUCGCGUCUGCUGUGAAAACUCAGGGCUUAACCCUGAGCUUGCAGUGGGUACGGGCAGACUAGAGUGCGGUAGGGGAGACUGGAAUUCCUGGUGUAGCGGUGAAAUGCGCAGAUAUCAGGGAGGAACACCGGUGGCGAAGGGGGGUCUCUGGGCCGUAACUGACGCUGAGGAGCGAAAAGCAUGGGGAGCGAACAGG
rnacentral:rRNA from 1 species